UGAGCAGCGUAAGCAACAUGUUACACACACACACACACAUGCCACAGUUCUUUCUCUACAUUGAACUCUGGGGGCCAUGGUAAAGGUAAUACAGCUAAUAGCAUUCCUUCUCACCUUUCAGGAAGGACAAGGUUUUCUAGGACUGGGAGUGAAGGUUUCUGACAUGGCUCAGCCCCAUAUCCUGCACUUCUUGCCCAUCCAGCAGGGUAGCCCAGGCCAGGAGCACAGGCACGACCAGAGGCAAAUGUCCCACUCAGGAAUAUGCCCUAUGCCUCUCAGCAGGCGCCUGGACCGCCCAGGUGAGGCCUGGGAACCCCAAGUUGGAGAGGAAGGCGGCCCACCUGGAUGAAACUGUGCUUUUUGUCUUUGUUCUUCAGCAGCAUGGCGCUCCGCCACUGCAGAACCCUCAGCUACCUCCUGUCACCUACCAGGCAGGACCGGGUCUGGCCUCCUUCCAAAUGCUGUGGCACCACCCCACAUGCCAAAGGCAAUUCUAGGACAUGCCUCAAGAACAGUAGACGCCACAGAGUCACAGCAUCUGGGCGGAUGGUCCUCCUCCCCCCACCAUCUGUUGGGGCCACUAUCUAGUUGUUGGAUGCCCCAGCUUGCCUGUUUGGGUGCAGAGUGUUAAGAAGUGCCCCUCCCGCCGGGGCGCAGGACCACAUGCGGGCUGCCACUGCCCACCUGGCUAGAGCCUGGAAGACCCGCCUCCGCUCAGUGUCUCGCAGGAAGAACACUGCCUGCUGCAGCAGCAGCUCCGUGGGCUGGAAGAGGUGCACGUGGUACAGGAUGGCCUCCAGGUCCCCAUAGAGCCGGCUGCGGAACAGCAGCUGUGAGUUGUACAGCACCUUGUAUUUCCUGUGUUCUGACCUGGGAAUCCUGCAAGAGAUAGAAGGCCAAGAGCUAACUUGCAUGGCAGCUUCCUGGGACACCAUGGUGAGGGUGCGCUGUCAGGUACAGCUUUUAUGUUAUUUAAGAACAAACCCAGGGGCCAGGUAUGGUGACUCACGCCUAUAAUCCCAGCACUUUGGGAGGCUGAGGUGGGCAGAUCACGUGAGGUCGGGAGUUCGAGACCAGCCUGACGAACAUGGAGAAACCCCAUCUCUAGUAAAAAAUACAAAAUUAGCCGGGCGUGGUGGCACAUGUCUGUAAUCCCAGCUACUGGGGAGGCUGAGGCAGUAGAAUCGCUUGAACCUAGGAGGCGGAGGUUGUGGUGAGCCAAGAUAGCGACAUUGCACUCCAGCCUGGGUAACAAGAGCGAAACUCCGUCUCAAAACAAAAACAAAACAAAACAAAACAAAAAAACAAGCCCAGGCAGGUGGAGGCUGCAGCGAGCCCUGAUGGCACCACUGCACUCUAGCCCGGACAACAGAGUGAGACCCUGUCUCAAAACAACAAAAGACAAGGUUGGUAAUGAAGACUAUACUAAGAUAAAAAUAAUAGCAAUUUAGAAGUAUAAAAAAUUAACUAAAAGGAUAGAAAAAAAACAAAAGGAAUAUGAUGAUGAUGAAUGCCUCCUGGUAGACACAUCUUUCAACACCUGGGACCUUGACAGAGCUGGCAGUGAAAGGCUGAAACUGACCUGAUCUGGCUCAUGGCCUGUGCCUGUCUCACCCCCUUCCUGCCCCCACUCAGCCCCUCACCACCCCUCCAAGCCCUGCCCUGGCACUCGCGGUCUGCACUAUGGCAAUACCAGCCUGGCAGGGUUUCUAUGCACAGCCUGCUGUCAUUGCCCUGCACUGGCCUAUGCCAUUCCUCUGCCUUUUUGAACCUGGUGAAGUCUACAAUGCCUUCAUCUCCCCUUCAGGAAUCUGUGUGCUUGGUCAGGGGUAGGUCCUCUUUUGUGAAGUAUUGGUUUGGGUAUUUUGCCCAUACUUUCUUUCCACUGGGAGGUUUUCUUAUUGAUUCACAGGACUUUAAAAAAUAUAUUUAGGAUACUAAUUAUUGGUCAGUUCCAGACACUGCAAAUAAUUUUGUUUGUAGCUUGUCUUUUCAUGACUUUUAUGGUGUUGUGAAAGUUGAGCAUAUGCAUUGGGUCAUUCUCAUCACACCCAACUAAAACAGAGUCGACAGGCGGGGAGAAAGCACCCAGGGCACGUAGCACUGCUCCAGGAAUGUCAUUCUCCGCAGCCUGGCUGCUGAGGCUGCCUGCUCCAACCUGAAGCCAGUCUUAUCUUAUAGCUACUGACACCACCUGCUGCGACUCCAAGACUACUUUUACUCACUGGCACUCACCAGUCAGAGGUUGCCAGUGCCCCAAAUUCUCAAAACAAUACCUAACAUUUUUAUAAUGCCCCUCCUUGUUAUAAAACCUCCAACCUUCUCUGUUUUUCAGACAUACUGAAGACUGCCCAGUCUGUGUGUGUACCUCAAAUUGUAAUUCUUGCUUCCCAAAUAAAAUUCUUAAAUUU